rnacentral:rRNA from 1 species
AGCGUUGUUCGGAUUUACUGGGCGUAAAGGGCGCGUAGGCGGUCAGCACAAGUCAGUUGUGAAAUCUCCGGGCUUAACUCGGAAAGGUCAACUGAUACUGUGCGACUAGAGUGCAGAAGGGGCAACUGGAAUUCUCGGUGUAGCGGUGAAAUGCGUAGAUAUCGAGAGGAACACCUGCGGCGAAGGCGGGUUGCUGGGCUGACACUGACGCUGAUGCGCGAAAGCCAGGGGAGCGAACGGG